rnacentral:rRNA from 1 species
UCAGGACGACGCUGGCGGCGUGCCUAACACAUGCAAGUCGAGCGAGGAGAUUCCUUCGGGAUGAUCCUAGCGGCGGACGGGUGAGUAACACGUGGGCAACCUGCCUCAUAGAGAGGAAUAGCCUUCCGAAAGGGAGAUUAAUACCUCAUAACAUUGCAGUUUCGCAUGGAACAGCAAUUAAAGGAGCAAUCCGCUAUGAGAUGGGCCCGCGGCGCAUUAGCUAGUUGGUGAGGUAACGGCUCACCAAGGCGACGAUGCGUAGCCGACCUGAGAGGGUGAUCGGCCACAUUGGGACUGAGACACGGCCCAGACUCCUACGGGAGGCAGCAGUGGGGAAUAUUGCACAAUGGGGGAAACCCUGAUGCAAGCAACGCCGCGUGAGUGAUGACGGCCUUCGGGUUGUAAAGCUCUGUCUUCAGGGACGAUAAUGACGGUACCUGAGGAGGAAGCCACGGCUAACUACGUGCCAGCAGCCGC